CCUGAAAAUACCAAAUUCGUCUGGGGUUAGAUACUGGUUAUCUAAUUUAUCCUUUUCGCUUACAGUGGUGUUCGGUAUUGAUGGUUGUCGAUCGAUGUGGUAUUGUUGAUGUUGAUCGACUGUUGAGGAAUCAUAUCGAUCGAUUGCUGGUGACGAGUGUCGAUCGAUUCCCUGAAACGAGUUCUUCCCCAAGCGGCUUCUGCUUGAAACUGAUCUGUAUCAUCGCGCUUUUGCAUAUUGAGCAGCUCCUCGUCUGUGAAGCUAUCUUGUAGUUUAUCUUUUCCUGGUGUAUAGGUUACUAUUUCUACAGCAAAGCUCUCGUGGUGGGGUUCAUCUGCCCAACUACCGAUCGAGUAGUUUCCUUCUCGCACACGGUUGAAGUCAGUGUUGACCGAUUUGUAGUAGGCAGUGUCUGUCAAUUUCUGGUGACC
rnacentral:lncRNA from 1 species